rnacentral:rRNA from 1 species
UACGUAGGGGGCAAGCGUUGUCCGGAAUUAUUGGGCGUAAAGAGCGUGUAGGCGGUCCGGUAAGUCGGCUGUGAAAGCCCACGGCUCAACCGUGGAGGGUCAUUGGAAACUGGGGAACUUGAGUGCAGGAGAGAAGAGUGGAAUUCCACGUGUAGCGGUGAAAUGCGUAGAGAUGUGGAGGAACACCAGUGGCGAAGGCGACUCUUUGGCCUGUAACUGACACUGAGGCGCGAAAGCGUGGGGAGCAAACAGG